rnacentral:misc_RNA from 1 species
AACGCACCUUGCGCUCCUUGGUAUUCCGAGGAGCAUGCCUGUUUGAGUGUCAUUAAUAUAUAUCAACCUUCUCUUUACUGAGUGGUUUGGAUGUGGGGGUUUGCUGGCCUCUUAUAUGAGUUCAGCUCCCCUGAAAUGCAUUAGCAGAACAACCCGUUCGUUGGCGUGAUAACUAUCUACGCUAUUGAAUGUGAGGGACAGUUCAGCUUUCUAACAGUCCUUGGACAACUUAUCAUUUAUGUGACCUCAAAUCAGGUAGGACUACCCGCUGAACUUAA